rnacentral:rRNA from 1 species
UGGGGAAUAUUGGACAAUGGGCGAAAGCCUGAUCCAGCGACGCCGCGUGAAGGAAGAAGUCCUUCGGGAUGUAAACUUCUGAACUAAUCGAAUAARAGGGUAGUGGACACACUACAGAAGAAGGUAGAUUAGGAAAAGUCCCGGCUAACUACGUGCCAGCAGCCGCGGUAAGACGUAGGGGGCGAGCGUUGCCCGGAAUCACUGGGUGUAAAGGGGACGUAGGCGGAUGAUCAAGUCAUCUGUGAAAAGAUUGCUCAACGAUUGGCUUGCGGAUGAAACUGGUCAUCUUGGGCGUAGCAGAGGUAGACGGAAUUACCUGAGUAGGGGUGAAAUCCGCAGAUACAGGUAAGAASGCCGGUGAAGAAGUUGGUCUACUGGGCUACAGCUGACGCUGAGGUCCGAAAGCCAGGGGAGCGAACCGGAUUAGAUACCCGGGUAGUCCUGGCUGUAAACGAUGCUCACUAGGUGUAGGGAGCGAAAGACUCUCUGUGCUGAAGCGAACGCGCUAA